rnacentral:tRNA from 1 species
CAGAUUAGGCUAUAGCAGCGGAUGUUAUUUACAUUAAUGUCCUAUUUGUGCGAUUCAAAUUGAUCUGA